GCUUGCUCCCGGAUGUUAGCGGCGGACGGGUGAGUAACACGUGGGUAACCUGCCUGUAAGACUGGGAUAACUCCGGGAAACCGGAGCUAAUACCGGAUAGUUCCUUGAACCGCAUGGUUCAAGGAUGAAAGACGGUUUCGGCUGUCACUUACAGAUGGACCCGCGGCGCAUUAGCUAGUUGGUGAGGUAACGGCUCACCAAGGCGACGAUGCGUAGCCGACCUGAGAGGGUGAUCGGCCACACUGGGACUGAGACACGGCCCAGACUCCUACGGGAGGCAGCAGUAGGGAAUCUUCCGCAAUGGACGAAAGUCUGACGGAGCAACGCCGCGUGAGUGAUGAAGGUUUUCGGAUCGUAAAGCUCUGUUGUUAGGGAAGAACAAGUGCAAGAGUAACUGCUUGCACCUUGACGGUACCUAACCAGAAAGCCACGGCUAACUACGUGCCAGCAGCCGCGGUAAUACGUAGGUGGCAAGCGUUGUCCGGAAUUAUUGGGCGUAAAGGGCUCGCAGGCGGUUUCUUAAGUCUGAUGUGAAAGCCCCCGGCUCAACCGGGGAGGGUCAUUGGAAACUGGGAAACUUGAGUGCAGAAGAGGAGAGUGGAAUUCCACGUGUAGCGGUGAAAUGCGUAGAGAUGUGGAGGAACACCAGUGGCGAAGGCGACUCUCUGGUCUGUAACUGACGCUGAGGAGCGAAAGCGUGGGGAGCGAACAGGAUUAGAUACCCUGGUAGUCCACGCCGUAAACGAUGAGUGCUAAGUGUUAGGGGGUUUCCGCCCCUUAGUGCUGCAGCUAACGCAUUAAGCACUCCGCCUGGGGAGUACGGUCGCAAGACUGAAACUCAAAGGAAUUGACGGGGGCC
rnacentral:rRNA from 2 species